UGGGGAAUCUUCCGCAAUGGACGAAAGUCUGACGGAGCAACGCCGCGUGAACGAUGAAGGUCUUCGGAUUGUAAAGUUCUGUGAUCCGGGACGAAGGCAUUGAUUGAGAACAUUGAUUGAUGUUGACGGUACCGGAAAAGCAAGCCACGGCUAACUACGUGCCAGCAGCCGCGGUAAUACGUAGGUGGCAAGCGUUGUCCGGAAUUAUUGGGCGUAAAGCGCGCGCAGGCGGCCGUGCAAGUCCAUCUUAAAAGCGUGGGGCUUAACCCCAUGAGGGGAUGGAAACUGCAGGGCUGGAGUGUCGGAGGGGAAAGUGGAAUUCC
rnacentral:rRNA from 1 species